GUCACCCUCUCCGGCUGCACUUGAGAGCCCUGGUGCUGAGGCAGCUUCAGGCUGAAAAAUCCCAGUUGCUGGCAGCUGCCCUGUUGUGUUUCAUGUUGCAGACAAGUGUCCAGUGACAGUUGCUGCCUUGGAAAGUUUUUCAGAACAAGCCCAGGCUACGUGGACUGAACGCUGACAAGUGUCAGGGACACGAGAGAUGUUGCUGCCAGAUCUUGUUUCCAACCUUCCUGGCCCUGUCCUGUAGUUUAAAUUUGAACACCCAGGCUCUGAUGAGACCAAAAUUAUCCUCCAGUUUGUAGGUCACUUUGAGCUUCCAUGGAUGAGCACAGCACAAAUGGCAGGGCAGAGAAGUCCCACCAAACCCAGCCCACCAGUGCUGCUCAAACCCCAGUGCAGUUGUUAUUUUGCACUUGACCAAAGUGAUACACACAAGAAACAGCUCCCAAAUCUUAAUAAUAAUUUCUAGCCUGGCCUUAUCCUUUCAGUCAGUGUCACGCAGCCAAAAUUUUAAGACCCAAGCAGAAAAAUGAGUGCAUAAAACUUGCAGUCUGAGGUUUGAUAAUGACAAGACCAGAAUCUGUUGGAAGACUGCAAAGUUAAGUCUCACAAAAACAUCUAGACAAAUUACUUAAUUUCCAUACAAGUUCUCCUCUUCCAGACUGGAUGGACACUUCAAAAGACAAAAAGAUACAGCAAGAAUUGUUUUUCUCUACUACAAAUCAAGCUGUUUGAAGAAUUUACAUAAACA